rnacentral:rRNA from 1 species
AUGAGCCAUGAUCCAAAACCUGCGAAGAUGCAAGAGCCAUGGGGCUCGACCCGCCAGAAAGGAGGAUCGAGAAGAACCCAUUGUAGAUCUCCAGACGCCGAAACCAGCGGUCCGACGUGGCCAGUGACGACCAUCACCACCCCGCGGCGGCCGACGGAGUCCAAAGACAGGAUCCAGAUGGAUCCGAUCUGGAUCCGUCGGCACCCGCGACCACCGGGCAGGCCCAACGCAGCCACCACCUCACAAUACGAAGGCCACCACCGCCGCGCCGCACACGACGCCGCCCGGAGGCCCGCCCGCCGCGCCGCCGAACCCCACGUUCGCCCGGUGCUCCUCUCGACCCCGCUGUCCCACGCCAACCAAGACAAAAAAGGAUGGGGAGAAGCCCCGCCGCUGCCCAGCCGGCCAGGCUUUGCCCGACGGCGCCGCAGACGCCGGCGAGGAGGGAGAGGGGCGGAGGAGGUGCGAGAAGUGGCGGCUAGGGUUCCCCCCGGGUCAUAUACACAAAAGUACCAUGAUUUGUUUGCAUUUUCCUUCGAUGCCCCCUCCCUGAACACUACCGCCUUGCCGACCGACCGACCGACCGAUCCCUCUAGUCCCGCCCACCCGGCCCGGAUCCAGCCCCAACCCACCACCACCAGCUCCACUUCCCUCCGGUUUCCGCCGCCCGCCGAAGCCGCCCGCGGCCGGGCGCGCCCUUUCCUCCCUUCCCGCGCGCUGGCCGUGGCCGGCCUGCUCCUCCUCUCUUCGUCCGGGGCCCCGGGUCGUGCCUUCUGCCCCGCCUCGCCUCCUCGCGCCUGGUUUGGAUUCGCUCGCCCUCGAUUCGCCGUCCGUUUAGGUUUAGAACUGCGCCUGAUUGGGUUUCUGCUCGUGCUCGAUUCGUCCGUCUGGAAUUGCGCCCGGUUUGAUUUUGCUCGUCCUCGCCGUCGUCUGCUCGGGGUCGCGCCCGGUUUGACUUUGCUCGUCCUCGCCGUCGUCGUCUGUGUGGAGUCGCGCCCGACGCGCUCGCGUGUUCUUGGUCCGUCUCGCCUCGUCGGGGGUCUCCGUCUCGAUUCUUUUAUCCGAGAGGCACUCCGGGUCCUGGGUUCCGUGUUCGCGUCGGUUGCAGGAACGAACGAGGUUCCUUCUAUUCUUCCUGAUGUUGCUAUUUCCAUUCAAGUACUCAUAGGAGUUCUAGAUGAGCUGCUGCUAAGACACUCACAAAGUUAUGAUCCUGCGUUUCGUGUUUGCGGUGGAGCGAUGAACGAUUACGUUUCGUGUUCCUGCAUUUUGUGUUCGCCGUCUGGUUUUGAAUGUGGAUUACGGAGACGGGGAGAGGCCAGCAAGGUAUUAGCUACCAUCAAAAAAAAUGUACAAAGAAUUCCUGCAUCAUGCUUGUCAUCUUGUGAAAGAAAUCCUCAAGUGAAUUUACUGCUGUUCCAGUGUCUUCAUGUUGUAGUGAUUAGAGAGAAGGUUGCAGAACUGUAUGAAUCUGAACAACAAUGGUUGAGAGCAGCACAAAUGCUUAGUGGCAUUGACUUGGACUCAGGAAUCAGGUUGAAACAAGCUUUUGUCUCUGUUUACAUGUCAUUGGAUUUUCUAAGUCUGGGAAAUCUGACCAUCUUCUUAAAAACCAGGAUGCUUGAUGACACAAACAAAUUAUCCAAGUGCGUCCAGAUUGCACGACUCUAUUUGGAGGAUGAUGAUGAUGUAGUGAAUGCUGAAGCCUUUAUCAACAAAGCCUCGUUUUUGGUCACAAACAGCAACCGGGAAAUUCUGAACUUACAAUACAAGGUUGUUCCUGGCUAUGGUCAUGGAGUUCUACGUAAUACAGACCCAAGAUACUCGUGCCAAAGGGAGUUCACAUUGAAAUAUUUACUCAAGGACCCACUUUUCCAACUGCCAUGUGGAUCUGGACAUGAUGCUAAGGACACUGAUGGGUUGGGUUUGCAUACAAUGCAGAUGUGCUGUAUCCAUAACUACCUAUUGGCACCUGAUAUUUGUGCUCAAAAUGCAGUAUGGACCAACAAAAUGGUCUCAUUGCAAGAAGAUGAUUGGACUAUCGAGGAGGAACAUGCACUGAUUAAUGCCCAUCAGGUAUAUGGGAAUAGAUGGGCAGAAAUAGCAAAAGUUCUUCCUAGAAGGAAUCGGGUACUUCUAUUUGUUCUCAGGUUCUUCUCACCUAUAGCUAAAGUCAAAGACGACAAACCAAGUGGAUUAUUGAAGUUGCAAGAUGCACAUAAUCAUCGACUGAAUCCUAGAUUCCUUGAUAACUUUGAUCAUAAACUGAUUCCCAAGCUAGCCAUUGGCUUGGAAGCGAUGAGAGGCAAUCACUGUUGUCAACUUGAAACUAUGUAG